rnacentral:rRNA from 1 species
UACGUAGGGUGCGAGCGUUAAUCGGAAUUACUGGGCGUAAAGCGUGCGCAGGCGGUCUGUUAAGACCGAUGUGAAAUCCCCGGGCUUAACCUGGGAACUGCAUUGGUGACUGGCAGGCUUUGAGUGUGGCAGAGGGGGGUAGAAUUCCACGUGUAGCAGUGAAAUGCGUAGAGAUGUGGAGGAAUACCGAUGGCGAAGGCAGCCCCCUGGGCCAACACUGACGCUUAUGCACGAAAGCGUGGGGAGCAAACAGG